UCGUAACAAGGUCUCCGUUGGUGAACCAGCGGAGGGAUCAUUACAGAGUUGCAAAACUCCCAAACCAUUGUGAACGUUACCUUCAAACCGUUGCUUCGGCGGGCGGCCCGGGUCCGCCCGGUGCCCCCUGGCCCCCUCGCGGGGCGCCCGCCGGAGGAAACCCAACUCUUGAUACAUUAUGGCCUCUCUGAGUCUUCUGUACUGAAUAAGUCAAAACUUUCAACAACGGAUCUCUUGGUUCUGGCAUCGAUGAAGAACGCAGCGAAAUGCGAUAAGUAAUGUGAAUUGCAGAAUUCAGUGAAUCAUCGAAUCUUUGAACGCACAUUGCGCCCGCCAGUAUUCUGGCGGGCAUGCCUGUUCGAGCGUCAUUUCAACCAUCAAGCCCCAGGCUUGUGUUGGGGACCUGCGGCUGCCGCAGGCCCUGAAAACCAGUGGCGGGCUCGCUGUCACACCGGGCGUAGUAGAUUUUAUCUCGCUCAGGGCGUGCUGCGGGUUCCGGCCGUUAAAAAGCCUUUUUUACCCAAGGUUGACCUCGGAUCAGGUAGGAAGACCCGCUGAACUUAAGCAUAUCA
rnacentral:misc_RNA from 1 species